UACGGAAGGCAGCAGUGGGGAACAUUGCACAAUGGGCGAAAGCCUGAUGCAGCUAUGCCGCGUGUAUGAAGAAGGCCUUAGGGUUGUAAAGUACUUUCAUCGGGGAGGAAAAACAAAACUAAUAAUUUUAUUUCUUGACGUUACCCGAAAAAGAAGCACCGGCUAACUCCGUGCCAGCAGCCGCGGUAAUACGGAGGGUGCUAGCGUUAAUCAGAAUUACUGGGCGUAAAGAGCACGUAGGUGGUUUUUUUAAGUCAGAUGUGAAUCCCUGGGCUUAACCUGGAACUGCAUUUUGAAACUGAAAUACUAGAGUAUCGUAGGGGGAGGUAGAAUUCUAGGUGUAGCGGUGAAAUGCGUAGAUAUCUGGAGGAAUACCUGUGGCGAAAGCGGCCUCCUAAACGAAUACUGACACUGAGGUGCGAAAGCGUGGGGAGCAAACGAGGGAUUAGAUACC
rnacentral:rRNA from 1 species